rnacentral:sRNA from 1 species
GCUGGGCACGGUGGUGCAUGCCUGUAAUCCCAGCUACUUGGGAGGCUGAGGCAGGGGAAUUGCUUGAACCCGGGUGGUGGAGGUUGCAGUGAGCCGAGAUUGUGCCACUGUACUCCAGCCUGGGUGACAGAGCGAGACUCUGUCUCAA